GACAGCAGUAGCCGCGGUAAUACGGAGGAUCCGAGCGUUAUCCGGAAUUAUUGGGUUUAAAGGGUGCGUAGGCGGACAGAUAAGUCAGUGGUGAAAGACGGUGGCUCAACCAUCGCAGUGCCGUUGAUACUGUUUGUCUUGAAUAUGGAUGAGGUAGGCGGAAUGUGGCAAGUAGCGGUGAAAUGCAUAGAUAUGCCACAGAACACCGAUUGCGAAGGCAGCUUACCAAGGCAAAAUUGACGCUGAGGCACGAAAGCGUGGGGAUCGAACAGGAUUAGAUACCCGGGUAGUCCCUGUCUCUUAUAC
rnacentral:rRNA from 1 species